GUCAGCAGGCUCACCUUAUCUUUCUGAUGGGGGUCCUGUAAUAGCUUUUCCUUGUGGGAUUUUCGCCUGCUGGGUUCAUCGUGCGACGGCGGACUGGAGACAUUUGCUGAAUCUUAGGGUUUCUUCGGGACACUUCUUGUGAAAGAGAGUUACCAUACCCAGUCUAAUGUUUACUUUCGUUUCUUCUGAACUGAGGCCUUACUGGCCUGCUUUCAGUUUCAGCUUCAAGGCGAAGUCCCUCCUGAUGCAGAAAGUCGCCGAGCGUGCCACAGGUUUCCACUGGAGUUGAUGCGGAAACUGACGGAGGAGGAGGAGGAGGGGCACGAGUUUGACGA